CCUAUAUAAGGGGGUUUCUUCUUCCUCCCCUUAUCUCUUACCUCUCUCUCUCCUCCAUUGAUGCACUCAAGCUUUCUUGCCCGAUCUCUCUCCUUAGCCACCCAAACUUGUUGCCGUGCUAGGGAUUGAAGGAGAAGACCUAGAUCUACACUUCCACCAAAGGAAAAUUGAUUCCCCCAAGUUCUUGUGUGGAUUUUAUUACUCUUGGGUGUUUGAGCACCCUAGAUGGAAGAGGUCACGUCGGAACCACAUUGCAUUGUGGUGAAGCUUCGUGGUUUUGUUGGGAGCCUCCAAUUAAGUUGUGGAGAGAGCCCCAACCUUGUUGUAAAGGUCUGGUUGCCACCUUCAAGGGCAUCACUUACGGUGGCCUUGGUGGUAUCUUGGGGAGCAUUGUGCCUCCACACCGCUCCUACAGAGAUGUACUAACCUUCAAAGGGAAGGAACUUCGGGAACACAUCCUCGUCUUCAUCGGUUCCACUUGUGGUUAUUUCUUAUCUUUACUUGUAUUUACUCAUUCCUUAUUAUUGUUGUUGUUAUCAUCAUAUAGGUUGCUCGCCUAGUUGCAUAUCUAGACAACCUAUUUGGUGCUAAACCUAAUUUGUUUAAAGAAAAGCUUAAAAUAUGCUAGUUGCCUAUUCACCCCCCUCUAGUCAA
rnacentral:lncRNA from 1 species